GACGAACGCUGGCGGCGUGCUUAACACAUGCAAGUCGAACGGGGCCCCGUCUUCGGGCGGGGUCUAGUGGCGAACGGGUGAGUAACACGUGGGCAACCUGCCCCCGGCUCUGGGAUAACUCCAAGAAAUUGGGGCUAAUACCGGAUAUGUCCGCCGACCGCAUGGUCUGGUGGUGGAAAGGGUUUCCGGCUGGGGAUGGGCCCGCGGCCUAGCAGCUUGUUGGUGGGGUAGUGGCCUACCAAGGCGACGACGGGUAGCCGGCCUGAGAGGGUGACCGGCCACACUGGGACUGAGACACGGCCCAGACUCCUACGGGAGGCAGCAGUGGGGAAUAUUGCGCAAUGGGCGAAAGCCUGACGCAGCGACGCCGCGUGGGGGAUGACGGCCUUCGGGUUGUAAACCUCUUUCAGCAGGGACGAAGCGCAAGUGACGGUACCUGCAGAAGAAGCACCGGCCAACUACGUGCCAGCAGCCGCGGUAAGAC
rnacentral:rRNA from 1 species